AGGUACUUUAGUAUUUUCAGGAUGCAAAUAAAAUAAUGCAUAUGGGAUUAAUUUUUAGCAGUCAUUUAAGGAUUGCCUAACAGGUAAAAUAUCAUUAUUUGAUAUUUGAAUAUUGUGUGAUUAUAUGCCUUGAGGCAUAGUCUAUUAUAUACUACAAAAAAAACUUGAAUAAGCAAGAGCAUUAUCAUAUCUAAAAUGUUUUUCACAUUUCUGAGAAAAAUAUGUUUUACAUAUUUACGUGUCAUCUCACUUAUUAAGGAAAAUGAUCUUCUGAAGAUCACAGUGAAAAGCUAUCUGAUGUAUAUAAAUUAAUUAGGGGGCUAUUGUUCCUGCAGUUAAGACUAACUUCGGUUUCUGACGGCGAUGUACGUUAUGCAGAAAUAAAGGUAUAUAGAAUGCAUGUAUACCACCUGAAUUCAUGCUCUGCUAGAAUUCAUUGAUUCAAGAAUCUGUGUGAUUCAAGAAUCUCUAAAGUCCCUCCAGCUCAGUCAGGAAUUUUGCCUGCUAAAUUCCUCCACAAGCAUUGCCUUCAGCUCAUGGGAACUACCUCCUCUGAGCUCGUUCCUUCUCUUAUAGCAGCCUGUGUCCAAUGGCUAGUCAAUGCUGAGGUACAAAGUCCCAGCUCCUUGCCUCAAAAGUGGGUAGACAUCUCUGAAAGUCCAUUCCAGCUUCAGAUUUGCUGAUGUCUCUGUUUCAAUUCUAUCACAGGCUAACCUCACUCUCUACUAUGUCCUGCUUUUCUUACGCUUCACAGGUAUAGAUCUCCAGCCCACUACUUGCACACAAAAUCAUCUUAGACUCUGCUUCUUGGGAAUCCAAAUAAGAC
rnacentral:lncRNA from 1 species